UGGCGUCGUUUUACUCCCUUCCGUUAGUAGCUUCGGCUGCAGUUUUAAAAAAAUUGUUAAUAAUUAAAACAUAAUAAGCGUUUAGGCAGCGGCAAUGGCUGCAUCUG
rnacentral:sRNA from 1 species